UUCAGAGGUCCCGAGCGUUGUUCGGAUUUACUGGGCGUAAAGGGAGCGUAGGCGGUUCGGUAUGUCGAAUGUGAAAGCCCACAACUCAACUGUGGAAAUGCAUUCGAAACUGCCGGGCUAGAGUACUGGAGAGGAGAACGGAAUUCCUGGUGUAGCGGUGAAAUGCGCAGAUAUCAGGAGGAACACCGGUGGCGAAGGCGGUUCUCUGGGCAUUACCUGACGCUGAGGAGCGAAAGUGUGGGGAGCGAACAGGAUUAGAUACCCUGGUA
rnacentral:rRNA from 1 species